rnacentral:tRNA from 1 species
GCGGGCGUGGCGGAAUUGGCAGACGCGUAUGGUUCAGGUCCAUAUGGGGGAAACUCCAUGGGGGUUCGAGUCCCUUCGCCCGCACCA